AGUGAACGCUGGCGGUAGGCCUAACACAUGCAAGUCGAACGGCAGCACAGUAAGAGCUUGCUCUUACGGGUGGCGAGUGGCGGACGGGUGAGGAAUACAUCGGAAUCUACUUUUUCGUGGGGGAUAACGUAGGGAAACUUACGCUAAUACCGCAUACGACCUACGGGUGAAAGCAGGGGAUCUUCGGACCUUGCGCGAUUGAAUGAGCCGAUGUCGGAUUAGCUAGUUGGCGGGGUAAAGGCCCACCAAGGCGACGAUCCGUAGCUGGUCUGAGAGGAUGAUAAGCCACACUGGAACUGAGCCACGGUCAAGACUCCUAAGGGAGGCAGCAGUGGGGAAUAUUGGACAAUGGGCGCAAGCCUGAUCCAGCCAUACCGAGUGGGUGAAGAAGGCCUUCGGGUUGUAAAGCCCUUUUGUUGGGAAAGAAAAGCAGCAGGUUAAUACCCCGCUGUUCUGACGGUACCCAAAGAAUAAGCACCGGCUAACUUCGUG
rnacentral:rRNA from 1 species